UGUGUGCUGAGGAAAAAAGAGAGUCUGUCACUGACUGAUUGCAGUGCCUCACCUUCAGUUAUUGCUGAUCACAAAGCUCAAGCACCUGCCUAUAAGCAAAGGAUUAUUUAACAAUACUGAGUAUAAUUGUAUACAAAUGUGCAUACUUGGUUUUUUUCAUAGUGAAGAAGUACCCCUACAGUAAUGAGCACAAAAAUUUUCUUGUUAGUAUGAUGUAAAAGGUACUGUAAUGAGGUUUGCCUGUAGCGUUAUCUGCGUUACUUUAUAAUAGAUGAGCUCUCCUUUUGCAUUUUUAAUGCAAUAAUUUUUUUGUUAAUUCCCACUAGAGUACAAAAGUUAUUGAAUUCUAUUGUAAUGUGCACUUGAGGAUGUAAAAAGUCUGCUCCUUGAACUCAUUAAGCAAUUGUUGGAUUGCCUUUUUGUUCUCUUCAAGUCACUAUUGUAUUUUGUAUAUUGUCAUUUAUUACUUACUCCAGUGCAAUUGCGGUGUGUUGUGCUUCUCUUUUUAAACUGAAAAAUGGGGUGGUAAACAUACAGAGGACUUCACUUAGCUGUGAUUGAAGAUGAUGAAGGAACUUCAAAAAAGCUUAUUUAAGAGUUAGAAAGGAGUUAGCUUGCUGGAGAAGCGUGUUUUCUUCUCUUUUUUUUUUUUUUUUGUCAAAGAGUUUGUAUUGUAUUAAGUAGAUUCAGUUUCAAAGACUUUUAUGAUAACUGUCUGAGCAUGGAGGAUUUUCAGCAGUGUGCAGACAAUUUGGUGGCACUGACUGUUUUGUGGUGAGCAGCUGCCUCCAAGAGGAGGUGGGGAUGUUGGGAGUGCAGCAGAAGGCCUUCUGCUCUCAGAUGUUGAAUGGACAGUGUAGGGACUCUUGGGAUGCUAAUGCCUUGAUUUGUUGACUGAUUUGUACCAAUUUCAGAAAAUAAUUUGUUUUGGUGAAAUUUCCAGACUGAAAGUUUGGUAAUAUUCCCUGUGCAAACAAACGACUUCAAGUUGCAAUACCUAGGAGAGAUGGCUUAAACAAUGUUGAGGAACAACACAGCAAAAACAGUCAAUGAGAUGCAAAGGUGAAAACUAAAGCAACUGUAGCUGACUAGUUGGUUAAAUUCCUAUUAAUUAAGGAAAUAUUUUCAUUAAUUAAGAUAGGGGGAGGUAUGGGAGGAGGGCAACAGAGGAAGAUAGACUUUUAAACAGAAAAAACGUGAAACUAAGGAUUUCUUUUGUAUUUUUCCCUAAAGGCACAACCUGCUGGAUGUAUGGUAUGAAGUUUCCUCUUGUCCUAAGGAAAUGACUGUAACACUUUCAAUGUAUGUGUCUGUCAGAGACUUUGCUGAGUAUCUGAUAUGACAGUAUGGUGUCAAAGUUUUCUUGCUGUAUAUUUAUAGUAUAAGUUGUCACAAAUACACAUUAAAUUCUUUAAAUGCACAUUGAGCUAUAUAUAGCAUGCAUGAAAACAGUCUUUACCUAUUUGUUUGAGACAGACAUCCAUUUUUGUCUGCUGCUGCCAAGUGACAACUCCCUGGAAGCUCCAUGUCCUCCUUCAGCCCUCCCAACACCCCUGGGAGCUGCUAUUCAUACCUGGCUGUCCUACUAUCAAAAUAACCCUUUCGCCUUCGUUAUCAUUUUUUUCAGAGAAAAGAGAUAGAAAAGAUUUAUUUGAUAUUCCGUUUCUCACUCACUGGCAUUGAGAUUUCCUUCUGUUUUCUUUCACAAAGAUAUUCUUCAGCUCCACAACCCGCUUAGUUGAUCACAUAGGUCUUGUAUCAGUACAAGUGAUUCCUGAGUUCAUUUAUCAUGUUUCCUUUGUGAAUAUAAAGGUUUUUCCUUUUGUCCACAACUCCUUCUCAUGUACACAUACACCCCAGGCCAGUAACCAUGUGGGAAAAUCUUCUCUUGCAUUUCUGCUGUCCCAGAGUCCACUGGUGGUUUCACGUAUUUCUGCCAAGCCAAAUUUGUCCAUUAACAGUAAAAUCACAGAGGAAUUUCUGUCGAAUAUCUGAGCAUGUUUAUGACAGCAGAUGUGUAUUUAUACAGCAGACACCAGAGGAACAGGAGGAUGGCUACAGGGUGCAAAGCUUGCCCUUUGCCUACGACACACAGCUGGAUUUCCACACGAUUUUCCUCUCGCAGCAGAGGGACGUUGACUUUGGCAACAUCGUUAGUGAUAGACCAUAUAUCAUGGUUAAUCAUAUCUACUGAAAGGCUUUAAAGGCUUCUCAUAUCCUUCUCAAUAAAAAAAAUUUUAAAAAAGUAUUUUCUCAUUCAAGUUAUUUUUAACCAUAGGUCUCUAGUGCAUAGUCAUUAAAUAUAUUUUCAACCCUAUUUAGCUGAGCUUCAUAUCCUUAAACUGACAUAUAUGUGAGGAGUACAGUAUUUGUAUGGGGCCAAAUUAAAAUAUACAGUUUUGCCUCCUCCUUUAAAGAAAACUUAAUAAUUAAGAUCAGAUUGACAUAGAUCAAAAUAUUGGCAAAAAUUGCUGGAAACAGUGACUCAUUUUUUAUUUCAAUUAACAGUUUCUCGGUUUCACAUGUAAACAGUGAAACUGUCAAAAGUAAUUAUCGCAGAGGGAGAAAAAAGCCUAUUUCACUCCAAAGUAAGGAAAACAAGCUAAAACAAUAGCUCUGUGUACUGAUGAGGCUAUCAAUGAACCAAAGUGAAUCAGAGAGCUUUUUUUGACUCUUGGCAGGAAUCCUGUUAGUACUUAUUUUUAUGUUCUUUGAAAUAUUAAUGUAUUUACUUGUCUAACAACCUCUGUUUGUUGAGGGAAGCUUUCAGCUUACAAAUUUUGCAAGAGCAAAGUAUUUUAAAAGCUGGGUUUUUUUAUAUAUUUCUAUAAUGAAAAGAUAAAAGUUAUGGGACUUUCCAAAUUGUCAGAGGCCUUUGGUUAGCUAAUCACACUUUUAAUCUGAAUUCUGCUUCCAAACAUUCAAUUUUAAAAUCCUUUGUGUCUCUUUUUGGCACUUAUUAUGAUUUUUAACUUGUGUUUGGUUUCUUUGCUUCUUUCCUUACAAACUCAGGUGAAUCUGAACUAGUUAAAAAAUUGCAAAUUUAUUUUUGUAGCUCAUAAACUCUGGCAUAUGAAUACAGGGGGAAGAAAGUUUCUUAAACAUAUGUUGAACUUUAUCCGAAACAUUGGCAUGUUAACUCAUAUCCUGCAGAGAAGAACAUUCUUUUCCUUCUUUACUUUUUGUUUCCCAGGAUACGUUUCAGGUUCAUCAGUUUAAACUGAGAUAAAUAGUCCUCUCUGAAUAUUUUUUCCACUCUUUGAUAAGUCCAUAUGGAAUUUUUACUUCCCAUGUUUUGAGUAAUUUGUGCGUUUAUUUAAUGCUAUAUCCUCGUUUCGCCAUUGAGAAUACAAGCACAAGCAAGUUUCCUGGGGUUGAGAAGACAGGGUUGGGUAGAGUUUGUGUUCAGCUGCAGGCUCCAGCCUAGGCUGAGUUUUAAGCCCAUGAAUAAUCUCCCCAGAGCUGCUGAGAUCACUCGUACGCCUAACGCGUGUGCUGCAGUUGACUCGGUUUGACCUUGUUUGACUCCAGAGUGAAGGAAAUGAUGCCUCGGUUGACCAUAGCUGUUUGUUUCUAAUUUGUCUGCAUUUACAUACCCUCCAUGUCUGCUUUCCAUUAACAUGUGAGACUUUAGGGAGGGAUUUUUUUCACAAACAGUUACCGCUGGCCAACCUAAACUCCACUGGGCACAGUUGGAGACCAUCAAGUGCUUUUGAAAAACUGCCUGUGUUUCUCCUUUCAGACAAAUUCCCCACAGAGACUGUGUGCUGACAACCACUCGUGACCAACACUCAUGCUUCUAUCUUCUCCAUCAGUAUGUUACUGCAAAGAAAAAGCAAAACCCCACUUUGGUGCUGCCUUAUGAGGCUUGUAAGCCAGUGUUCAUUGGUUGACCCUUGAGGUGUUUACUCAGAUAUUCAGCUCUUUGUUGGGAAACAUCCCCUUGUCUAUGGAAAUUUCCUUCAGUCAGAUUCUUUCAUAAACACAGCCUGUGUUAUCUGAGCAUAAUAAAACUAAAUGGCUUCCUGUCACGAUGACCUCUGUUUAGUUUUAUACUCAUAAUUUUCUGAAUCUCUGUGUGCUCUUUCCUUUUUUGGCCUAAUUUUCGAACAAAUCCCCACUUUUGAUUUAUUUUGCUAUUAUUUUGCCUUCAUUCAAAUGCCUCCUUCAAAAUUUUCUUUUCCAAUAUAUCCUUAUACGUUUUUCUUACUCUCUUAACCUCUCUUUAAUUUUUGGGGUGGAAAUGGCUUAAGCAUUAUUGUUCAUUUUAUUUCUUUAACUAGUACAUUGCCAUGUUUAGUUAAAGAAAUAAUUCUCUCUUAGAGUUACUGCAUAUUUUACGUCUUUUAUAUUCUCAGCCAUCACUGCAUUUCCAGGGAAACACAGAUUUAUUUUAUGGAUAGAGUGGGAUGUACAAGGAGUCCUGUUACUGAGCAGGUGUGGUGGCAAAUUAGUCAGGAAGCUAUUGCUCAGUUUAAUUCUAGCAGCACUCCUCUCUGAACCUUCAGCUACUCUCUCUUUCUGCCCUUUCCAGGUCCAUUCAUGCUCAUCUGUAAACCAACAUUUUUUUUUUUUCUUAGACACAUAGGUAGUUCUGGAGCAUUGUUGUGAAAAAUGGAUGAAACAUCAUACCAAUUGUAUGAUCAAAGAUACUGCUUAGGUACAUCAGGGCAAGGUUCAAAGGAGAUUCAGAGGCUCAGGCCAUGUGGACUCUGUUGUCAUCUUUGCUGAAAAUCUGCCAGGGGAGGACAAUGUUAUCUUCUGUAUGGAAAAUGCUUAUCUGAACAUGUAACCUGACCCAUUUCUCUGGCUGAACAUGAAGAACAACUCCUGAAGAAGUUUGAACUCAGCCUCAGAAGCUUGGAUGUGUGCUGCUGUAGCUCUGCCCUUGUUCAUCACCGCAGUUUCAAAGGGGUUUCAGACAUUUCAAUGAUCACCGUGUAUUUCCAGAAGCAACAGAAGAUUGUACAAGUAAUUUUCAAGCCAGAAAACUGAACUUAUCUAGAAUCAUCCCUAGUAAUGCUCAAUCUGGCACUGUGCACCCCUGGUAGAUUUGAGUCAGAGCUCCAAACCCACACAGGUUAUUCCUAUAAGAAAGGUGCGUCCAAAUAUUGCAGCCCUUCACUAAAGGGAAAAUGUUGACAUUAAAAAAAAAAAAAAGGCAUGAAAACAUCAAAUUAUUCCAGAUGUCCUGUCCUGUGAAUUUCUCAAGCAGAAGUACUGGCGCUCACAAAUCCAUUUCAGUCGCUCAUGGAAUAUAAAUCUGGCUGUAAAUAGAGAGGAUUCCCUAAAGUAUUCCCACACGAACAGAAGGAAGACUGGAAGCAUUCAGAAAGCUAACGAUUAACCCAAAGAGGAGAAUAUGGAUAUGAUUAUCCCUGCUGGAGAGAGGCUGCUUUCCCCUCUAUACCCUGCAGAGUUCCAUGGUGCUAGGUGCUGUACAAACAUUUAAUUUGGCCAGAUCAAUUUUCCAAACUGAGACUCAUCGUGACAAAGACAAACCUCAAUUUUUAUCUGCUGCAGUGAUCAAAAGGGUGUUUCUGUUUAACUAACCUGACAUGAUUUACUUUUGUGUAUAAGAUCUUGCCAUAUGUGUAUAUUGAAAAUCUUCAACUAGUACAAAUAAAUCGGCUCCAAGCUCUACCCUUAAGGGACGGAUAAAUCCAAUAUUCUGAGCAAGUUAUUAGAGUUAACAGUCAACAUUUAGUGUGGAUGCACAUCCAUUCAUAUGAUAGUGUCCUGGAAAAUAUCUAUGGUAAAUACUGGGCCUAUUUUUAAAUAAAUGCAAAACAGAUUUCAGGGGAAUUGAAAAGUAUUUCCAUUAUGAAAGACAAAAGCGCAAGGAAUAAACUGGGGCAGGAAUGCAA